rnacentral:rRNA from 1 species
GACGAACGCUGGCGGCGUGCUUAACGCAUGCAAGUCGAACGAAGAGCGAUGGAAGCUUGCUUCUAUCAAUCUUAGUGGCGACCGGGUGAGUAACGCGUAAUCAACCUGCCCUUCAGAGGGGGACAACAGUUGGAAACGACUGCUAAUACCGCAUACGAUCCAAUCUCGGCAUCGGGACUGGAUGAAAGGUGGCCUCUAUUUAUAAGCUAUCACUGAAGGAGGGGAUUGCGUCUGAUUAGCUAGUUGGAGGGGUAACGGCCCACCAAGGCGAUGAUCAGUAGCCGGUCUGAGAGGAUGAACGGCCACAUUGGGACUGAGACACGGCCCAGACUCCUACGGGAGGCAGCAGUGGGGAAUCUUCCGCAAUGGACGAAAGUCUGACGGAGCAACGCCGCGUGAGUGAUGACGGCCUUCGGGUUGUAAAGCUCUGUUAAUCGGGACGAAUGGUUCUUGUGCGAAUAGUGCGAGGAUUUGACGGUACCGGAAUAGAAAGCCACGGCUAACUACGUG